GGGGUGCUCGAGUGGCGAACGGGUGAGUAACACGUGAGUAACCUGCCCUUGACUUUGGGAUAACUUCAGGAAAUUGGGGCUAAUACCGGAUAGGAGCUCCUGCUGCAUGGUGGGGGUUGGAAAGUUUCGGCGGUUGGGGAUGGACUUGCGGCUUAUCAGCUUGUUGGUGGGGUAGUGGCUUACCAAGGCUUUGACGGGUAGCCGGCCUGAGAGGGUGACCGGCCACAUUGGGACUGAGAUACGGCCCAG
rnacentral:rRNA from 1 species